GGAGGUAGCUCAGUGGUAGAGCACAUGUUUUGUACGUAUGAGGCCCUGCGUUCAAUCCCCAGCACCUCCA
rfam:Chelonia mydas contig224405, whole genome shotgun sequence.